GUGACUCGAACACCGAGGACGGGGACGGGGGACCCAGGUCUCCGGGUCGUACGACGACCCUCGGGGUGAAGCCGCACCCGUGCGGCCGGGCCACAUCUCCGCCCGAACCCGACAGCUAACUCCGCAGGCGUCGAGGAGAACCCAU
rnacentral:sRNA from 2 species